GACGAACGCUGGCGGCGUGCUUAACACAUGCAAGUCGAACGAUGACGACCGAACUUGCUCGGUCUGAUUAGUGGCGAACGGGUGAGUAACACGUGAGCAACCUGCCCUUCACUCUGGGAUAACCUCGGGAAAUCGGGGCUAAUACCGGAUAUGAGCUCCUGUCGCAUGGCGGGUGUUGGAAAGUUUUUCGGUGAAGGAUGGGCUCGCGGCCUAUCAGUUUGUUGGUGAGGUAGUGGCUCACCAAGGCGAUGACGGGUAGCCGGCCUGAGAGGGCGACCGGCCACGCUGGGACUGAGACACGGCCCAGACUCCUACGGGAGGCAGCAGUGGGGAAUAUUGCACAAUGGGCGAAAGCCUGAUGCAGCGACGCCGCGUGAGGGAUGACGGCCUUCGGGUUGUAAACCUCUUUCAGCAGGGAAGAAGCGAAAGUGACGGUACCUGCAGAAGAAGCGCCGGCUAACUACGUG
rnacentral:rRNA from 1 species